rnacentral:rRNA from 1 species
AGUGAACGCUGGCGGUAGGCCUAACACAUGCAAGUCGAACGGCAGCACAGUAAGAGCUUGCUCUUACGGGUGGCGAGUGGCGGACGGGUGAGGAAUACAUCGGAAUCUACUUUUUCGUGGGGGAUAACGUAGGGAAACUUACGCUAAUACCGCAUACGACCUACGGGUGAAAGCAGGGGAUCUUCGGACCUUGCGCGAUCGAAUGAGCCGAUGUCGGAUUAGCUAGUUGGCGGGGUAAAGGCCCACCAAGGCGAGGAUCCGUAGCUGGUCUGGGAGGAUGAUCAGCCACACUGGAACUGAGACACGGUCCAGACUCCUACGGGAGGCAGCAGUGGGGAAUAGUGGACAAUGGGCGCAAGCCUGAUACAGCCAUACCGCGUGGGUGAAGAAGGCCUUCGGGUUGUAAAGCCCUUUUGUUGGGAAAGAAAAGCAGCAGGUUAAUACCCAGCUGUUCUGACGGUACCCAAAGAAUAAGCACCGGCUAACUUCGUG